rnacentral:lncRNA from 1 species
CGGCAGGGCACGGUAGCUCAUUCCUGUAAUUCCAGCACUUUGGGAGGCCAAGGCAGGUGGAAUCACCUGAGGCCAGGAGUUUGAUAUCAGCCUGGCCAACAUGCGUUCUAGAACACAACUACUAACUAGCUCGGCCUGGUACCACGGAUUUGUGCUACGGCACCAGGAGAGCAAAAUCAACACAGAAAAAAGCAAGAAAACUCAGAGAAAAAAUAAAACAAAUCUACAAUGAACACAUCAGUAUGUAUAUUUCUACAAACUUGUGUGAGAAGUUCUGUAAGAUCAAGUCCUAAAAGCAGAAUUGCUGGCUCAAAGGAUAUGAGUAACAUCAGCUGACUCGAAGUUAAGAAGAUUGGCCUCCACAAUCAGGGUGGGCCUCAUCCAAUCAGUAAAAGGCCCUAAGUGCAAAACUAAGGCUUCCCUGAAGAAGAAAUGUCCACCUAACAGACAGCCUCCCUGUGGAUUUCAGACUUGCCUAGCCAGCCCCAGCAAUUAUGUAAACCAGUUCCU